AAACUCCAAUGUAUUAGGGUGCAGCAGAGGGCGCUGUGUCCUGAUGUGGUCUGGAACACACACAAAGCUCUGAGCAGUACUGAAAAUAUGUACUUAAAUACAAGUACUGUUAAACUGCUGAAAUAAUACUCAUUUACAACUAAAGGUUCAAGUGCUAAAAAGUACUUAUUGAGUACAAAA